UCCAAUAAAUCAUAAAAGGGGGGUGGGGGGGGAAUUGCUCGAGAAAAGCAAGAAGUCAGAGUUCAAAACCACCGAAUUCCUCAGUCUCCAGCCGCCCGGAGGGCUGCCUCCACGAUCCUUCCUGGGCUCCGCGGCCCUGAGGACGAGGUGACAGUCUUUCACCACCCUCUGCAGUGGGGUCUGUCUUGAGCCUUCUGCCGCCUGCUGUGCCCUUGGCCCCAGCCCCACAGAACGUCCCCGGUUCUGUUUCUGGAACAAACCUCGUGGCAUCGUGAGUCACAGCCCUUCCCUCUCCCGCCCUCCGCCAUCGGCAGCCCCGCUCACUCAGGACAAAGAGUCUUUCUCCUUCUCUGACCAGUCCCCGCAAAACCCGGUGAUUCGGUUUCACGUCGCUGGCUGAGUACACUAUCUGGCUGACGGCUGGCCCUUCGUGCCAAGCUUUGGGUCUGGCAGUCACUUCCUCUCCCGCCCUCUCUGCACCCCUGUGGCCGCCUCGGGCUGAUGGAACGGCCGCUAAUGCGCCCCAUUCCUGCGCUCAUGCUGACAGACGGAUGGAUGGACGGCUGGACGAUCCCCAGGACGGGUUCCUCCUGACAACUGCUCUCUCUGGAGCGUUUCAGUUGUUUGGAGUGAGGCCUUUUGGCCGAGCGUGUCCUAAUCCGUGCUGGGAAUUCCCAUCAGCUGGUGCUCUGACGUGUGUUUGGGGGAAGAUGUGACUCCCUGAACAGUGCGAACUGAGCUGCGCCUGCGCCCGGGCUGUUUCAGAGGGGCCUCAUCUCACCUGACCUUCAUCCUGGGCUCUCAGGUAUCCAGACAGGAGUCACCAUGACUACUGACAAGGACUCCUUGCUUGGGCAAACUUACGCUAGUCUCCUGAACCAGCUCCGAGGCCAUCGGUCACCUUGUAAAUCCAGUUUAGCAGGAACCCUGCGAAGCCGGUUUAAUCAGAACCUCCACUCUUGAUACCUGAUGAAGUUUCUAAUCCCUCAGGUGAUGGUUGAGCACCUGGAGCCCCCAGAGGGGGCUGCAUCCCUGGCCACACCUUGAUGGGAAGCCUGUGAGACCCAUUCUGACCUCCAAAAAGGAAAGGGGAAGCGAAGCGGAAGAGAAGGUACACAGAAUGAGCUGAACAUAGAAA